ensembl:lncRNA
CACCACCAGCCUGCACAGUGGUAACAAGGCAUGAUGGAUCCAUGUUCCCAGUCUGUUUACGCCAAAUUCUGACUCUACCAUCUGAAUGUCUCAACAGAAAUCGAGACUCAUCAGACCAGGCAACAUUCUUCCAGUCUUCAACUGUCCAAUUUUGGCUAUGGAUGCUCAUCAUUGGGGCCUGCUUUUCAGCAUCCUGAAAACUUCUACAGAUGCAGCAUCUGAGGGAGUUGGCCGAAAAACUGAGGGAUGUGAAACAGCAGGUUUCUUUAAACACAGCCAUAUUACAGAGCCUGACAGCUGGAAACAACAUGGACAUGUUGUCACGAGCUGGGGUGUGGAAGGAC